rnacentral:rRNA from 1 species
UGUUUCGGCUAGGGGGCCAUCCCGGCUUACCAACCCGAUGCAAACUGCGAAUACCGGAGAAUGUUAUCACGGGAGACACACGGCGGGUGCUAACGUCCGUCGUGAAGAGGGAAACAACCCAGACCGCCAGCUAAGGUCCCAAAGUCAUGGUUAAGUGGGAAACGAUGUGGGAAGGCCCAGACAGCCAGGAUGUUGGCUUAGAAGCAGCCAUCAUUUAAAGAAAGCGUAAUAGCUCACUGGUCGAGUCGGCCUGCGCGGAAGAUGUAACGGGGCUAAACCAUGCACCGAAGCUGCGGCAGCGACACUCAGGUGUUGUUGGGUAGGGGAGCGUUCUGUAAGCCUGUGAAGGUGGCCUGUGAGGGUUGCUGGAGGUAUCAGAAGUGCGAAUGCUGACAUAAGUAACGAUAAAGCGGGUGAAAAGCCCGCUCGCCGGAAGACCAAGGGUUCCUGUCCAACGUUAAUCGGGGCAGGGUGAGUCGACCCCUAAGGCGAGGCCGAAAGGCGUAGUCGAUGGGAAACGGGUUAAUAUUCCCGUACUUGGUGUUACUGCGAAGGGGGGACGGAGAAGGCUAUGUUGGCCGGGCGACGGUUGUCCCGGUUUAAGCGUGUAGGUGUGUGUUCCAGGUAAAUCCGGUUCACUUUAAC